rnacentral:rRNA from 1 species
GGCGGCAGGCCUAACACAUGCAAGUCGAGCGGUAACAUUUCUAGCUUGCUAGAAGAUGACGAGCGGCGGACGGGUGAGUAACGCGUAGAAAUCUACCUAGUAGUGGGGGAUAGCCCAGAGAAAUUUGGAUUAAUACCGCAUACGCCCUACGGGGGAAAGCGGGGGAUCUUCGGACCUCGUGCUAUUAGAUGAGUCUGCGUCGGAUUAGCUUGUUGGUGAGGUAAUGGCUCACCAAGGCGACGAUCCGUAGCUGGUCUGAGAGGAUGACCAGCCACACUGGAACUGAGACACGGUCCAGACUCCUACGGGAGGCAGCAGUGGGGAAUAUUGCACAAUGGGCGCAAGCCUGAUGCAGCCAUGCCGCGUGUGUGAAGAAGGCCUGCGGGUUGUAAAGCACUUUCAGUGGGGAGGAAGAUAUCACGGUUAAGAGCUAUGGUAUUUGACGUUACCCACAGAAGAAGCACCGGCUAACUCUGUG